UUUUUUCCAUUAAUGAUGCAUAAAAUUUUAACGCGUAUCAAAAAAUCAGAUCCAAAAGCUCUUGCAUGGUAGUACAUUACAGGCAAGAGUGAGAGUGUGCCCAAUGAAAAGAUGUUUGCAUUUUCUUUGUUUGGUUCCUGUUUGUUCUUGGAAUUAAUUUCCCAAAUUAGACCCACCAUUGAACCCCUUCACACGCUCAAUUUCUCUCUCUAUAUCUCUACCAUCCUCUUCUCUCUCCUAUCUUCUUCAUCCCCCAUUUCUCAAUAACAGGGGUCAAGAUUAACCAUAAGAGAUAAACACAAUUUAUGACCCGAUUUAAAUUCCCAUACCCGACCCGUUUCCCUGCAUAAUUAAUCACCCGGACUCCAAUUUGGUGAUGCCCUAGUUCUUCUGGGCAUCAUCAUCAAAACAGUUCCCUUGUUUUCUUUAAUUUCUUGAAGAAAUCAACAUUUUGGUGGGCCCCAUUUAGUUGAUUUUUCAAGAUCAGACUCAUUGCAAUUUUCCGAACCCUAAUUCGUUAUGUUAUGCCCACUUGUUUAAAGCUCAUACCUUUUGUUGAAGUUGGAGAAAUUUUUGCUUAAUUGGAGACCGACCCAGAUAUUAGAAGGCUUUUGGGGGUCUUAUUUUUAAAUUUUCUUGAAUUCUUGAUUUGGAUUAAAAAGAAGGGUUUCAAAUGAAGCUAAACGGAUAUUAAGAAUUCAUAUAGUUGAUUUGAUCCUUAAUUAGCUUUAAAUUGAGGUUUAGUGAUUGAUUUGCAGAUGUAUGGAUCCAUCAUUGUUGAUCUUAACUCUGAGUAUUUGCUUUUGUUUCCUUGCUAUUUCCGUACAAUCUCAGCAAAAUGUGAGUCCUUUAUCACCACCAGCACCAUCACCAUCACCGAGGUCUCCUCCGCCACGUCAGCAUCAUCACCAUCAUCCACCACCUCAUCCGCCACCUCCAAAACCUUUGCAUUCUGCUCCGAAAACGACAACUUCGGAUAGUAAACACUCGAACCACGAUAAAAAUAACGAUAAAAAGCACCAUAAAUUGAAAAAGAAGCCAAAUUGGAGGAAGAAACUAGGAUUUAUGUUUGUGGGUGUUGCUGGGAUGUUGCAGGUGUGUGUGCUGGUGUUCUUGCUAAUCAAGAGAAGGCAAUUGUUAAAGGCUGAAAGGAACAUUUGAAUAUAUAUAUAUAUCAGCUCCCAUUUGUUUUAGUAAAUCUCUUUUGAUGAUGGAGCAUGUUAAUAGCAGUUAGUCUAAUUUAUUCAGAUUUUUAAGUGAUCGGUUGAUAAUGAGCUCGGCAUUGAUGAAUUAGAAGGAUUAAGGAUUCAGCUGAAUUGUUGAUUUCUGCAUUUGCGUUGGUCGCUACUGUAAAUUUGGUCUCAAAAGGAAAGUUUUCAGAUGAUAUCUUGCCUUUGUCAAUUAUAAGGAACUGUAUUGGAUUUGUUUUGGAGAACGUAGUGUUACAUCUUCUCUGUCCGGUGAGAAACGAAUGCUGUAGGGAACUAGCAUACUGUUGAUGGAGGCAUUACCUGUCAUCGUCGAAGCUGAAAUAUGAUUUCUAAUGUAGAGGUUAAACCCUAUAAAACUAUUUAACUGUUGGUAUAUUCUAACUGUUGAAUCUGAUAUGAAAACUUAUACACUGGCAAAGUAAUAUGUAUAUCUAUUUUAUUCUUGAAUAAUGUUGCUUUAUUGAGUUAUAA